GAACUAGCUUCAGCAGCACAUAUACUAAAAUUGGAACGAUACAGAGAAGAUUAGUAUGGCCCUGUUCAAGGAUGACACACAAAAUUAUGAAGCAUUCCAUACUUUA
rnacentral:snRNA from 1 species